GGGGCUGUAGCUCAUCUGGGAGAGCGUCCCGAUGGCUCAUCGGGAAGGUACGGGGUUCGAGUACUUGCGGCCUAG
rnacentral:tRNA from 1 species